rnacentral:rRNA from 1 species
CGCGUAGGCGGCUGUUCAAGUCCGUAGUGGAAGUCCAUUUUUCAAGGGUGGAAGUGCUAUGGAAACUGAGCAGCUUGAGUGCAGGAGAGGUUAUCGGAAUUCCCGGUGUAGCGGUGAAAUGCGUAGAGAUCGGGAGGAACACCAGUGGCGAAGGCGGGUAACUGGACUGCAACUGACGCUGAGGCGCGAAAGUGUGGGGAGCAAACA